UCUUUCUCAUUAGGAACGUUACAGUAGUUAUAAAUCAGGUAUUGGAGCACAAAUUGAAGCUGGGACCACAAGUUUAGAACAGCUUGAGGAAUUCAUCUUAAGCAAUGGUGAACCAGCACGAAUCUCUGGCCAGCAAGAGCAUUAUGAAAGUAUUCUGAACUACUAUAUUUAAAGCCACAUAGUCCAGAAAAAUGGUUAUAACUAAGAUUAAGUACAAACAUAAUUAUUGAAAAAAAAAAAAAAAAA
rnacentral:sRNA from 1 species